UCGAGCGGAUGAAAGUAGCUUGCUACUNNNAUUCAGCGGCGGACGGGUGAGUAAUGCUUAGGAAUCUGCCUAUUAGUGGGGNNNACAUCUCGAAAGGGAUGCUAAUACCGCAUACGUCCUACGGGAGAAAGCAGGGGAUCUUCGGACCUUGCGCUAAUAGAUGAGCCUAAGUCGGAUUAGCUAGUUGGUGGGGUAAAGGCCUACCAAGGCGACGAUCUGUAGCGGGUCUGAGAGGAUGAUCCGCCACACUGGGACUGAGACACGGCCCAGACUCCUACGGGAGGCAGCAGUGGGGAAUAUUGGACAAUGGGGGGAACCUGAUCCAGCCAUGCCGCGUGUGUGAAGAAGGCCUUUUGGUUGUAAAGCACUUUAAGCGAGGAGGAG
rnacentral:rRNA from 1 species